ACUCCUCCGGAUCCAAAGUAGAAGCUGCUUUUGCUAACGCUUCCUCUUCCUCGCUCUUCUUUGUUAACAAACUCUCCUUUGUUAUUGCCGAACCUGAGAUUUCCCGAGGCGCCGGGCACGGGGCUGCUCCGAAUGCAGAGGGAGGUGCUGUGGAGCAGCACGUACCGGCGCUGCCAGCGGGGGCCCUGGGGCGCUGCCCGGAGCCGGGGGCGCAGCGUGAGUCACAGCCCGCGGAACCGGGCGGGCCGGGGCGGCAGCGCCCUUGGCCUGCGCCACUCCCCGCAGCGGGCGCACGGCUGCGGCCUGGGGAACGCUCCGGCUCGCCAGCCCGUUCCAAAAGCGAACAUCUGCAUUUCAUCAGCAUCUUGCAUUGUCUCUCUGAGAAAUGGCAUUCAGUUGCAGGUCAAAGUAACAUCCAGUCAGACUUUGCAUGGCAUGAGGCAGAAACAGGAUUUUCUAGCAUGGUGGCUUCAGGGAGGAAUUUAGGAAAGGAGCAUGACUUAAUGUGAGAGCUCAUGAUGGUCACAAGGAGCACUACCAUGGGGAAGUUCAUAAAUGGAGUUUUGAAGGAACUGUUUAAAAUUCUAAUAUAGGAGCACUCAAGCUUUGACAUGGGCAGCAGACGGAGAGUGCUGUGAACUUGACUGGAGCUUCAUUUUGAGUUCGAUGCACCCCACCAGAUGAAAGAGGGCACGGUUAAGAAGAUCAGAAGUAUACUGAAUCACAUCAAAAAAGACACCUGGUAGACAAGAAAACUUUGAUCUUACUAAUGACAGGACCUACUGGCUGGAAUCUGCAGCUCACAGUUAUUAUGAGAAGCAAGGAAUUGAGCUAUUCAGGUAACACAGCAGGGAUGACAGUAGUGUCUAUUUAUGCUCUAUCUUUAAAUGAAAAUUGACUUCAGUUCUAAAAUAUACAUAGCCCGUGCCUGCUCUGGGUGACCACAAGUUCCUGCACCCAGGAUUCUCGCUCCUGCUUGCCCGAUAUGCCACUUGUCAUCUUUCUGUGGCUUGUCAGAUCCAGAAAAAGCCCUGCAGGGUCUUUGGGGCAUAAUCAUGUCCUUGUCUCUUGUGAAAUGCAUAGUCCACUUGAGGCAUCACAGUGAACUGAAAUACUGUACUUCAGUGAGUUUGACAUGCUGCUUUGUGUGUUCCUGCACCAGUAUCUUGCAUGGUAAAUAUCACAUGUCUGCAGUUAACAUCUUUGUUCAGCAUUUGUCCAGAAGUGCAUGAUCAAUGUACCUUAGCACACAUGUUGUCUCAGAGGAGAGAUUUUCCUCAGCCUUCUUUCAUUCAGUUACUGGAAAAUAGAAGAUUAUAAAGAUCUUCUGAAAUAUAAUUAUUUCACUGGUUCUGUACCCUAAAGUGCUGAUUGCAGGAGCUGGUUAGGAAAUAAAUGCAAAACUUGCCAUUUAGACUCUUUUAAACUGUUUGUAGGACUGUAGCAUUCCGAUUCCAAGUGCGUUCUGUCUGCUGGAUUGUGUCAGUGCCCUCUAGUGACUAAUUCCCUGAACUGUGUUGGGUUUUCACUGGAGAGAGACAUCGAAGGGGUGGUUGUCUGCUGAGAGCCGGAGACAGGUAAAUCUCCUCAUAUUAUUUUUAGGGCAGCACUAGUUUGUCCUGCAGAAGCAAAAAGAAACGCUCACUGAGCAUUUCUGAAUGCAUGCACACUGCUACUGUGGAAAUAGCACGUCUGAAACAAAGCACGAGUCAAAUCAAGUGCAAACCAGUGGAACUAAAACUACUGGGCUGUCGCUGCGCAACACUUGAAUGGUUUCAGUGAAGUGUGGAAUUAGUGACAUUUUGCUGAAUAAUUAUCCUCUGAGGCUUGAGAAGGGGUCACAGGAUUCUGGUUUUCAUCUGAUACAGCAGCUGUAGGCUGGGCUGAUAGAUUACUGACAUUUCUUCUGUAUGGUGACAGCAUGCCAGGUUUUAGAAAACCAAAUUGGUUCUUUCCUAAAGACUUUUCUUGUUUAGUAGUGGGAGCAUUUCUGUCUUUUCCUAUUAUUAGAGCUUUACACACAGUGUUGUGCACUGUAGUUGCUGGCACACUUGUCAGGGGGCAUCCUGAAGAUAACUCUUGAUGGAUUGUUUCAGGAGCAUGGCCUCACCUUUACCUGAAAGGAAUACGGUAGAUUUGCUCUGUUCCUGGAAAGGAUGGGAGCAGAGACAAACUCCUUUUGUACUUUUCGUUACAAUCACACAAGUGCAGAGUUAGGAAGUGCAGAGGCAGUUGUCAGUUGUCAGUUGUCAGUUCUUAAAAGGAACGUACUUGUUCCUUUUAAAAUUCAUGUUCUUGUAUAGUAGUUCACUAUAUUAAAUUUCUCAAUGAAUUGACAACUCAAUGCAAAUAGAUCAGUGCUGUUACCAUUGCUGUUCAUUCUGCUGCAAAAUACUGUGGUUUGUUUCUGCUGGUGGUUUUGGGGGGAAGAGGGUGUUUGCCUGUGUUUUUCCUUCUUUCAAGUAAAAAUUCAAGUGCCCUUUUAAAUGUUUAAUUGCAUCCAUUAAUAUAGCCAGCGUAGGAGUUUGGUGAAUCCAGGCUCAGGAACUGAUUUAUCUGGACUAUUAAAAUCGUAUGACAGGUAUGCUAAGGGCCAGAUACGGAGGUGGUGUGCAAACUGGCAUAUAUGAGACUUCUUUAUGUUCUUACAUUGUAUUAGCUUCCCACCGGCUUCCCUGCACCUACUCAGUUGGCAUAUAAGGGAUGCUAGGGCGGUGUAAUUUACGCGGUAAGCUCUUCUUACCAUAUAAGCAUUAAGAACGUAUAAUUGAAAUGCAUAUCACCUUGUUUGAACUCACUUCCUUUUUUCUGUCUUACUUUGUAUUUGCACUGACAAUACCAUAGGACAUAGACCUUACUGGCAUGAAUAGCAUUUACAGAAAUAUAAAUGUACUUCUUCAA
ensembl:lncRNA